rnacentral:snRNA from 1 species
AGCUUUGUGCAGUGGCAGUAUCAUAGCCAAUGAGGUUUAUCCAAGGCGCGGUUAUUGCUAAUAGAAGUCACUCCCAUCUCCCCCUCCUCCCAGCUUCUGGCAACCACUAAUCUAUUGCUGUCUCUAUGGAU